AAUCAACGCUGGCGGCGUGCCUAACACAUGCAAGUCGCACGAGAAAGGGCAGCAAUGCCUGAGUACAGUGGCGCACGGGUGAGUAACACGUGAAUGAUCUACCUCCGAGUGGGGAAUAACUGAGAGAAAUCUUAGCUAAUACCGCAUAACACUUACGAGUCAAAGCAGCAAUGCGCUUGGAGAGGAGUUCGCGGCAGAUUAGAGUUGGCGGGGUAAUGGCCCACCAAGACGAUGAUCUGUAUCCGGCCUGAGAGGGCGCACGGACACACUGGAAUUGAAACACGGUCCAGACUCCUACGGGAGGCAGCAGUGGGAAUUUUGCGCAAUGGGGGAAACCCUGACGCAGCAACGCCGCGUGGAGGAUGAAAUCCCUUGGGAUGUAAACUCCUUUCGAUCGGGAAGAUAAUGACGGUACCGAGAGAAGAAGCCCCGGCUAACUUCGUGCCAGCAGCCGCCG
rnacentral:rRNA from 1 species